rnacentral:rRNA from 1 species
UACGGGGGGGGCAAGCGUUGUUCGGAAUUACUGGGCGUAAAGGGCGCGUAGGCGGUUUGCUAAGUUGAAUGUGAAAACUCUGGGCUUAACCCAGAGCCUGCAUUCAAUACUGGCAGGCUAGAGUUCUGGAGGGGAUAGCGGAAUUCCUGGUGUAGCGGUGAAAUGCGUAGAUAUCAGGAGGAACAGCCAGUGGCGAAGGCGGCUUACUGGUCCGAUACUGACGCUGAGGUGCGAAAGCGUGGGGAGCAAACAGAU